CUAGACGGGCAAGGUCGGAAGAACCCUGUUUUGGUGAACUGGGGCCUGAGUCACUGACGUUCUCCCAGCUGAGACAUCCAGGCUGCCAGAUGACCUUUUCGAUCCGGAUGGCUUUCCCCUUCUCUCCAUAUCUGGAGAGGAAAACAGAAGCCACCAUCAGCACAGCAGAACCCCAGAAGAGAACAACUUACAGUAAGAAGGCAAGCCUCAGGUGCUUCAGAUCCCUGUCAGGAAGAACAGCCAGAGGUGACCACACUACUCUCACUGAGACAGGACUACAGCAUUCCUCACAGGAGGGUGAGCUGAGGACACCGACUCCAGCUUUCUGACCAGGUCCUUCCCCACCAUCACGCCCGUGCGAGAAAUGUGUCCUGCAGUGAACUUCACAUUAGAGAGCAAAUAAAAGGGCCAAGCACUGUC